rnacentral:rRNA from 1 species
UACGUAGGGACCAAGCGUUGUUCGGAUUUACUGGGCGUAAAGGGCGCGUAGGCGGCGUGUUAAGUCACUUGUGAAAUCUCUAAGCUUAACUUAGAACGGUCAAGUGAUACUGAUGUGCUAGAGUGCAGAAGGGGCAACCGGAAUUCUUGGUGUAGCGGUGAAAUGCGUAGAUAUCAAGAGGAACACCUGAGGUGAAGACGGGUUGCUGGGCUGACACUGACGCUGAGGCGCGGAAAGCCUAGGGUAGCAAACGGG